UUCAAGUGAGGUCAGUGCUGCUCGAUUUUUUUCAGCAGCUGUACUGUCUUCGUUUGAUAU
rnacentral:pre_miRNA from 1 species